GGGGGCGGCCGGGAGGGUGGGGUCGGGCGGCGGCGGCCGCGCCCCCUCGGGGAGCUAAAGGCGGGGCAUGCAGAUUCGGUGUGGCUGUUGGGCGCGGGCCGGCCGGGGCAACCAGGGAUACGGGAUCUCUCGUUCCGAGGGAAGAGAAGGAAACGUCUGCACAAACGUCUAGGGAUACGGGUGGACCUGUCGACGACGCAAAGGAAAUGAGGCCAGGAGUGAGGGUCUGGGUUCUCACCGUUCCUCUGGCUGCUCAAUAAACAAUGGUGCUGUGGAUCCUGCCUCAUACUCAGUUUCAGGUUCUGAAGGUCUGAAUACCUGGAUCUUGCGACAUGCUCCAGAUGCCAGGAACUGCUCGUUGGCUUGUCAUACCCGGCCUGCGGGAUACUGCCUCUGGACCUCAAAGCCAUCCCCAUGACUCAACUUCGUUGAGUCGUGAGUCGGCCUCACCACGACUUCUGGUUCUUCUUGCACUUGCAUUGUCCAAAGGUAACAGCUGAAGAAAUUUUUUGCGACCCUUGUUGAACUGCAGAUUCUGGAGUUGGGGAAAAUUCAUCUAGGAUAUUGUCAUUUUCAGACAUGCGGUCGGAGAUGUCCCUCAUGUAAUCCCAUUCACCGUCCUCAUUAGAGACCAGUCCUUUGCUUUCAUCUUCUGAUUCCUCUGCCGGUACUGUAAUGAUCGGUCUCAUGGACAUGGGCGCCUCUGGCCGUGUUCUUUUCUUUGUCAUCAGGGGUGGAAAGAUGAAAAUUUCCCAAUUCUGGCUUGCAGUCAACAAAAGCAAAAUCGAGCCUGUGGAGAUGGUGUCUCCCACCUGCUUGUCUACCUUCGGGAAAGGGGAAUGCGCACUUUGUUACCGCAACAAGGCAAGGGGAAAACGGAAGGAUGGUGGGUGCCACGGCGAUGACUUGUUCCGCGAACGCUGCAUCACCCCUCUAUAGAAGGGAUUCCUUCCUUCCCUCAUUUUCCUGAUCCCUGUAGACUUUUUCGUCCUAGCUGCGGAUGGAGGAAUAAGGGCAGGCAGGCCGAAAUAUGCCUAGGAUGACGACAUAGCAAAUCACGUCGAGACACAGGGAAAAUUAGAUCACGAAGACGCCGUGAUGUGUCUUUGGUUUUGAGAGAGAGGAAAGCGGCGGCAGGAGCUGGCCCACCACUCACAGCUAGCCGUGGUGGUCUCCGGUUGGACAUACACAGUUUUGCCCAGCCAGUGGCAACCUUAAAAAAUAAAAUAGCCAGUUAUUUUA